AAAUUGAAGAGUUUGAUCAUGGCUCAGAUUGAACGCUGGCGGCAGGCCUAACACAUGCAAGUCGAACGGUAACAGGAAGCAGCUUGCUGCUUUGCUGACGAGUGGCGGACGGGUGAGUAAUGUCUGGGAAACUGCCUGAUGGAGGGGGAUAACUACUGGAAACGGUGGCUAAUACCGCAUAACGUCGCAAGACCAAAGAGGGGGACCUUCGGGCCUCUUGCCAUCAGAUGUGCCCAGAUGGGAUUAGCUAGUUGGUGAGGUAACGGCUCACCAAGGCGACGAUCCCUAGCUGGUCUGAGAGGAUGACCAGCCACACUGGAACUGAGACACGGUCCAGACUCCUACGGGAGGCAGCAGUGGGGAAUAUUGCACAAUGGGCGCAAGCCUGAUGCAGCCAUGCCGCGUGUAUGAAGAAGGCCUUCGGGUUGUAAAGUACUUUCAGCGGGGAGGAAGGUGUUGUGGUUAAUAACCGCAGCAAUUGACGUUACCCGCAGAAGAAGCACCGGCUAACUCCGUGCCAGCAGCCGCGGUAAUACGGAGGGUGCAAGCGUUAAUCGGAAUUACUGGGCGUAAAGCGCACGCAGGCGGUCUGUCAAGUCGGAUGUGAAAUCCCCGGGCUCAACCUGGGAACUGCAUUCGAAACUGGCAGGCUUGAGUCUUGUAGAGGGGGGUAGAAUUCCAGGUGUAGCGGUGAAAUGCGUAGAGAUCUGGAGGAAUACCGGUGGCGAAGGCGGCCCCCUGGACAAAGACUGACGCUCAGGUGCGAAAGCGUGGGGAGCAAACAGGAUUAGAUACCCUGGUAGUCCACGCCGUAAACGAUGUCUACUUGGAGGUUGUGCCCUUGAGGCGUGGCUUCCGGAGCUAACGCGUUAAGUAGACCGCCUGGGGAGUACGGCCGCAAGGUUAAAACUCAAAUGAAUUGACGGGGGCCCGCACAAGCGGUGGAGCAUGUGGUUUAAUUCGAUGCAACGCGAAGAACCUUACCUGGUCUUGACAUCCACGGAAGUUUUCAGAGAUGAGAAUGUGCCUUCGGGAACCGUGAGACAGGUGCUGCAUGGCUGUCGUCAG
rnacentral:rRNA from 1 species